GGUCUCGUAGAGUAGCGGUUAUCUCGUUUCCCUCUCAAGGAAAAGAUCGCGGGUUCGAAUCCCGUCGAGACUAC
rnacentral:tRNA from 1 species